rnacentral:tRNA from 1 species
UGUGGCUCAGUGGUAGAGCACUUGCCUGGCAAGUGUGAAGCCCUGUGUUUGAUCCUCAGCA